GAUGAACGCUGGCGGCGUGCCUAAUACAUGCAAGUCGAGCGAACAGAUGAGGAGCUUGCUCCUCUGACGUUAGCGGCGGACGGGUGAGUAACACGUGGAUAACCUACCUAUAAGACUGGGAUAACUUCGGGAAACCGGAGCUAAUACCGGAUAAUAUAUUGAACCGCAUGGUUCAAUAGUGAAAGACGGUUUUGCUGUCACUUAUAGAUGGAUCCGCGCCGCAUUAGCUAGUUGGUAAGGUAACGGCUUACCAAGGCGACGAUGCGUAGCCGACCUGAGAGGGUGAUCGGCCACACUGGAACUGAGACACGGUCCAGACUCCUACGGGAGGCAGCAGUAGGGAAUCUUCCGCAAUGGGCGAAAGCCUGACGGAGCAACGCCGCGUGAGUGAUGAAGGGCUUCGGAUCGUAAAACUCUGUUAUUAGGGAAGAACAAAUGUGUAAGUAACUAUGCCCGUCUUGACGGUACCUAAGCAGAAAGCCACGGCAAACUACGU
rnacentral:rRNA from 1 species